AGUAGCCAUAAAGUAUAGUCGAUUCUAAUAAAAAAACCUAAUCCAACUUCCUGCACAACUGUAUCUUAACAAAAUAACAAACAAUACAACAACUGAAAGCUAACAACUGACUUAACAACUAAUAUAAACAGCCUAUACUACAAUAUUCACCCAUCACACUGACUCUUGAACAACUUGGACAAACUCCUUGUUUUCCUCGAUUCUUGUAAAAAGCUGAACUUACAAACUAAUUGGAUACUCGAAUUACGCCUAAAUUCAGAAAAAUUCAUCAAUUACAAUGAUUAGUUAAACAUGGUAUAAUUAUACUCAAAUCUAAUUAUCACCUGACUUUUUAAACAUUACUUAGAUAAAUAUAAUUACUAAAAGGGAGACUAACGAACCCAGCAAUAUACUCAGAUCUUGAUCAAGUAAUAGGCAUCCUGGAUGUUAAUUAGAUUUAGUGAGAUAUUUUGUUUAAUCAACUUAAAGUGAACUCAUGCAUUACUUUAUUAGGAAGGAACAUUUUGUCCUCUGAAAGAAGAGAAAAAUAGAUGCAAAAAAAUGGCAUGUUACUUAAAAAUAAAGUACUUAUCCAGGAAAAAGAAAAAAGGAAAAUCCUUAAUAAAAAAAAGUAAUGGCUUUUCAGUUCGUUUUUAUCACAUAAAAUUAAUGAAAUUUAAAGGAGAUGGGCUUCCUUUUUCUAUUGGAGCAUUCAAUUUAUUCACAAAUACGUUUUGCAUAACGCCUAACACGGUGGUAAGUGAUAUUCAUUGAAAUUUGUUGAAAAAAGCAAAAGAAACAAUUUGCAAUUGUCCAAACAUUUAAUUGAUGCAAAAUCGAAAUGUUAUUGAAAAGGAAAGGAAGAAGGAACCCUUUUAGCACGUUUGGGAUCAAUGUUCCAGAGUUCAGCCAACUUAUAGGAGGCAUAGCUUUCUUGGCUUCCAUAACUUCCCCGUCAACGGAAUUACUGUGCCUGUGUCUAGGUCUGAAGGAGGAUGACGACAGCUUCUCCCCCUUCAGAAGGAUCUGUAGUAGAUUUGGUGUGUCCGUCAGUAGCAGCUUUGCUGUGUGCACUGGUUUGUGCUCUUGGGCUGAAUUCAGCUAUCCGCUAUGUUGUACGAUGUGGCUACAGCUUUGGUCUAUGGACCUCAGAGCAAAUCCCAGCACUCGAUGAACUGCCUUCAACCAGUACAGGCCUCACAAAGAGUGCAUUGAGCCAGAUUCCAGCCACGGCAUAUGAAUCAGGACUAAAUCUUACAGUGACAGAUUGUUCAAUUUGCCUUGGACAGUUCGCAGAAGGCGAGAAAGUCAGACUUGUCCCAAAGUGCAGCCAUGUUUUCCAUGCUAUGUGUAUAGACACAUGGCUGUUGUCAAACUCCUCCUGUCCAUUGUGCCGGCAAGCAUUGAUAUAUUUAGUACAAGAUGCUGGAAUUUCAUAGUUGGGUUGCCUGAAAGCUGUGGACAGGGCAACCUAACUUAUCUUGGGAGUUGAGCUUGAUUGGUGGCAGUGGCAGUAGUAUAUAUGUGAUAAUAAUUUCUGGUUUAUUUGGUAUUGUUCUUCUGCAGUGCUGGGUGAAAAAAGAAAAGAAAAUCAGAAAAGCGCUUUCUGCUUUCUACUUUCUAAUCUUUCCUCCCUGUGUACUAUAAUAUCUGUGAUGCAUCAGAAUCAAUUCGAACGAUUACAGAUGUACACACAGACGGACUGGAGUUUUCAAUGAAUAUUUUGCUCCCACAUCACCCCCUUUUUAUUUUUAUUUUUUGAUGUAACUAUAUACAUAGCUAGCAUCAGAGUACGGAAUGAAUAAGUGUAUAUCUGCGGUAGAUAACCGUAGCUGAGUCCUAGUGAAA